AUCAGUGGAAUCACAUUGCAGUAGAGGGACCAGUCCCUGGCUUUAUAUCAGUCCAGUCUGACCCGUCUCUGAAGCCGCAGCAUUCAAAGAACAUUUACAGCAGUUUGAGGAUAAAUGUGUCUCUGCUGUUGUUUACUGACUUUUUCAUCUCAGCCAAGUAAACCUUCUGCUUUACAGCAGAUACACUCGUACCAGCUGAUGUGAAGCAGCCAGCAACGUCUGUUUCUGAAGAUUCCUGAUUGGUUGACAUGACGUUCUUCAGUCUGCUAUUAGGAAAGCAGGAAUGAUCCCCAGUGGAAGCACUGGUUUCACUGGUUUCUCUGGAGAGUCUGCAUCCAGCUGAGCUCUGAGGACCAGGGCGUGACACAGCUCUGCCACCGAGCCGUCCCCCCCAACACACACCACCCUGACAGACAGGUGGAGACGGACCAGUGUCAGGACGGGUUAUACAGAGCUCAUUGAAAAGCGAGAAGGUUCAUCUGCAGAGUUUGUGUUUGCCGUAAAUUUGAAGUGAACAGACUCCGCCCCCUCCCCCUCCUCCUGUGUAUGGGAUUACCUGAAGCUCCGGUCGCCACGGUGACAGCCAGCCUAAUUGGCAAAUCUCCUUCAGGGUGUUGUACCAGGUGUUUGUGUGCUCGGCAGAGGCAUUGUGGAGGUGUAGCGUGUCCUCCUCCAGCCUCCUCCCUUUCCUCCUGCAGCAGAACAGAGCCACACCGAGCACAGCUCCCCCGGACUCCUGGCCCGCUGCUCGCCGCCGCUUCACCUUCACUGCAAACACGUCCUGUAGCAGCAUCACACCUGGCUGCAGCACGCACGCCUCACCUGCAGAGCUUGCUGGAGAUGUAGCUGGCCUGAAAAUUGAGCUUCUGCUGCUGCUUGUAAUCACACAGAAUGAAGUGUCUUUCUGGAGGCAUCUGCUGUGAUCAACGCUGCAGGAAACCAACAUGGAUGAGAUACUGCAUGAAGGAUGGUGGUGGCCUACACCUACAGGUCCUGGUUAACUUUCCUGCCCCCGAUAAAGAGCCAUGGGAAGCAUUCAGAUUGUCCCCCAUGCAGUGGAUGUGCGUGUCCAGAUGUCAAGUUUCAGGUGGUCUCAACAUGAUAGAAGUUCUCCAUUACAGCACCAGCUGCCUCGACAUACACACAGUCUGUCUGCCUGUCAGCAGUGAUCACCAUGACAACGCGUCACCGCAGUAACUGACCUGUGGGGUUCUCGGGGGUGAUGGGGGUCCAGAUCUGAAGGAACCUCAGAAGACCCACUCACCUGUGCUCUUCCUCAUCAUCUUCCUCCACCUGCUGCUGUGCUUCUUCCUCUUCUUCUUCUUCCCGCUUCUCCUUCUGCUUCUUCUUCUUCUUCCCGCUCCGUUUCUC